CACGUAGUUGGCCGGUCCUUCUUCUGCGGGUACCGUCAUAAUCGUCCCCGCUGAAAGGGGUUUACAACCCGAGAGCAUUCAUCCCCCACGCGGCGUUGCUGCGUCAGGCUUUCGCCCAUUGCGCAAGAUUCCUAA
rnacentral:rRNA from 1 species